rnacentral:rRNA from 1 species
UUGAUCCCGUACGGGUAGUGCAGCUGCUCGUAGUAUUCCUGUUCCGCCCCGUUCUCGCGGACGUCGUCGUCCCGGUCGCGGUAGUCCAGCAGGCAGUCCACCAGCUCGUCGGUCAUCAUCGGCAGCCCCAGCAGCGUGUCGCGGUCUGCGGUGUUGAUGUUGAUUUUGCCCGCCUGGU